rnacentral:rRNA from 1 species
AAAACUUUCAACAACGGAUCUCUUGGUUCUGGCAUCGAUGAAGAACGCAGCGAAAUGCGAUAAGUAAUGUGAAUUGCAGAAUUCAGUGAAUCAUCGAAUCUUUGAACGCACAUUGCGCCCCCUGGUAUUCCGGGGGGCAUGCCUGUUCGAGCGUCAUUACAACC